GACUACCCGCUGAACUUAAGCAUAUCAAUAAGCGGAGGAAAAGAAACUAAUAAGGAUUCCCCUAGUAACGGUGAGUGAAGAGGGAAAAGCCCAGCACCGAAGCCUGCGGCAAUUUGCUGCUAGGCAAUGUGGUGUUUGGGCCGGCUUGCGGGACUGCUGCUCCAUUCUAAGUCCAGCUUUGAGUAUGGCUUCUGGACUUGGCCCACAGAGGGUGAAAGGCCCGUUCGAAUGGAGGAUAAGAGAAGUGAGCAGUUCACUAUGUCGGCCUUAGAGUCGGGUUGUUUGAGAAUGCAGCCCAAAGUGGGUGGUAGACUCCAUCCAAGGCUAAAUACUAGCACGAGUCCGAUAGCAAACAAGUACCGUGAGGGAAAGUUGAAAAGUACUUUGAAGAGAGAGUAAACAGUACGUGAAACCGCAUAGAGGUAAACGGGUGGCGUCAAGCUGCACGCUUAGAGGAUUCAGUCGGUCAGGAUGUAGUGUAUGCGCCUGGCGCAUCCAUCAGUCAGAGUGAGAUAAAGUGGUCCGUUGGAUAAUAGCGGGCCCGGCCGAAAGGCUGGGAUUUGUAUUCCGUGUUGUGUGCGGAGCUUGCCACUUGUCUGAGGACUGCCUGGCCGAUGCAUUUUCUCUGUGGCGAACACCACGACCGGUGGUACUGCCAGUCUGCUGUGGUAAAGUCGGGUUCAGUCGGCAUUCGUGUUGAUUGAGCUGGAUCAUAGGCGAGCGGUGUGCGGGUGCUUUUGCGUGCUCGUGCAUCGCUUUGUCAACGGGUCUGUUUGCUGACGAUUGUAGUAGUUAGUGAAUGGCCUGGUGAACCAUGGUGGUAAAAAUAACUGUGCAGGGCAUCGGUGAUUUCGGUCUCUAAUUUGGCCCGCGUGCACAUUACAAGUGAGUGUGAGGCGUUGUUGCAGUUUGCCCGCGAUUGGGUUUGAUUGUCGUGUUGCCUGCGCAAAGUAGGUCCGGCAGUGGCCUGAUUUUGGAUGGUAGUGCUUGCGGCGUCUCCUGUGCGGGCUGAUGAGGGCCUAAUAGUCAGUGGUGUAGUGGUAGACGAGCUACCCGACCCGUCUUGAAACACGGACCAAGGAGUUCAACAUGUGCGCAAGUCACUGGGUCCUACGAAACCCAACGGCGAAAUUAACGUAAAGCCUUGGCUUGUCCGAGGUGUGGUGAGAUCCUGCUGUUACUCGCAUCAGCACUUGUGCUUUCAGCACCAGGCUAAGAGCAGUAGGCGCAUCACCGGCCCUCCCAUGAUGUCGCUGUUGGUUGGCUGCUUGCAGUCACCAGCGUGUCUUCGGGGCGGAGCAUGAGCGCACACGUUGAGACCCGAAAGAUGGUGAACUAUGCUUGCGUAGGUUGAAGCCAGAGGAAACUCUGGUGGAAGACCGCAGCGAUUCUGACGUGCAAAUCGAUCGUCAAACGUGAGUAUAGGGGCGAAAGACU
rnacentral:rRNA from 1 species